GCGCCCGUAGCUCAGUUGGAUAGAGCACCGGCCUUCUAAGUCGGAAGUCGCAGGUUCGAGUCCUGCCGGGCGCGCCA
rnacentral:tRNA from 1 species